GGAUGUGAUCAUACCAGCACUAAAGCACCGGAUCCCAUGAAAACUCCAAAGUUAAGCGUGCUUGGGCGAGAGUAGUACUAGGAUGGGUGACCUCCUGGGAAGUUCUCGUGUUGCAUUCC
rnacentral:rRNA from 2 species